rnacentral:rRNA from 1 species
AUUGAACGCUGGCGGCAUGCUUUACACAUGCAAGUCGAACGGCAGCGCGGGCUUCGGCCUGGCGGCGAGUGGCGAACGGGUGUAUAAUGCAUCGGAACGUGCCCCGUAGUGGGGGAUAGCCCGGCGAAAGCCGGAUUAAUACCGCAUACGACCUGAGGGUGAAAGCGGGGGAUCGAAAGCCCUCGCGCUUUUGGAGCGGCCGAUGUCGGAUUAGCUAGUUGGUGGGGUAAAGGCUUACCAAGGCGACGACGCGUAGCUGGUCUGAGAGGACGACCAGCCACGCUAGGGCUGAGGGACGGCCCAGACUCCUACGGGAGGCAGCAGUGGGAAAGGUUGGACAAGGGGGGCAACCCUGAUCCAGCCAGGCCGCGUGCGGGAAGAAGGCCUUCGGGUUGUAAACCGCUUUUGUGCGGGAAGAAAUCCUCUGGGCUAAUACCCCGGGGGGAUGACGGAACCGGAAGAGUAGGCACCGGCUAACUACGG